rnacentral:misc_RNA from 1 species
AACGCACGAGACCUGCGGACCUGCGGAGGGAUCAUUAAAAAGUUUGUCACAUUCGUUGACCUACUCUUGUGCAUCUGUAUAUUACAUGACCUUGGCAGUCUAGUGUUUUUUCUUGUAAAAAAGAAUACACGUCUUGCCUUCUGUUUGUUUUCUUACAAAAUGGAAAACGCAGAUGGCCGGGGGCUGCCAGUCGACAAACCCUUUCAAAACAACUCUUGUUUUAAAACUUUUAAAAAAAAG